AUUGAACGCUGGCGGCAGGCCUAACACAUGCAAGUCGAGCGGAUGAAGGGAGCUUGCUCCUGGAUUCAGCGGCGGACGGGUGAGUAAUGCUUAGGAAUCUGCCUGGUAGUGGGGGAUAACGUCCGGAAACGGGCGCUAAUACCGCAUACGUCCUGAGGGAGAAAGUGGGGGAUCUUCGGACCUCACGCUAUCAGAUGAGCCUAGGUCGGAUUAGCUAGUUGGUGGGGUAAAGGCCUACCAAGGCGACGAUCCGUAGCUGGUCUGAGAGGAUGAUCAGUCACACUGGAACUGAGACACGGUCCAGACUCCUACGGGAGGCAGCAGUGGGGAAUAUUGGACAAUGGGCGAAAGCCUGAUCCAGCCAUGCCGCGUGUGUGAAGAAGGUCUUCGGAUUGUAAAGCACUUUAAGUUGGGAGGAAGGGCAGUAAGUUAAUACCUUGCUGUUUUGACGUUACCAACAGAAUAAGCACCGGCUAACUUCGUG
rnacentral:rRNA from 1 species